rnacentral:hammerhead_ribozyme from 1 species
AUCCAGCUGACGAGUCCCAAAUACGACGGAACGCGCGUCAAACUGGAU